GCAUAUGACUACUGGCAGGAUCAACCAGGUAGCAUUCCUAACCGACACCAGAAACACUAGAUCUGAGCCGCGAGGACUAAAUCGACGUGCCCCUGGAAGUCGUUCGCAUACAGCGUCGAACACUAAGUUGUGGGAGAAACAAGGUCAAAGACCCAGCACCCGCUCAAUGUUCCGUACCCGAGAGACCACGCGCAGCAUCGAGYGCCAGCAUCRUAAAAACACGCGAGUGCAACUACGAAGUGGGACGCGACGUGCGCUUCGAAGUCCGAUCAGCCCUGCAUCCCGAAURGAYGCAACACUGAUCGGAUGCCCAACAAUUCCGACAAACGAAUACCCUGAACGUAGGAAUUCAACACAGGAAACCGAAAUGGGGCCGAUGCCCUGCCCAACCCAACAACUGAAGAGGUUCGAACGGCACGYCGUCGCUGCUCGAGCGGGGAUCCAACRAUCCGUUACAAACCAAACACCACUCA
rnacentral:misc_RNA from 1 species